rnacentral:rRNA from 1 species
CGGAGCUGAAGUCAGUCGAAGAUACCAGCUGGCUGCAACUGUUUAUUAAAAACACAGCACUGUGCAAACACGAAAGUGGACGUAUACGGUGUGACGCCUGCCCGGUGCCGGAAGGUUAAUUGAUGGGGUCAGCGCAAGCGAAGCUCCUGAUCGAAGCCCCGGUAAACGGCGGCCGUAACUAUAACGGUCCUAAGGUAGCGAAAUUCCUUGUCGGGUAAGUUCCGACCUGCACGAAUGGCGUAAUGAUGGCCAGGCUGUCUCCACCCGAGACUCAGUGAAAUUGAACUCGCUGUGAAGAUGCAGUGUACCCGCGGCAAGACGGAAAGACCCCGUGAACCUUUACUAUAGCUUGACACUGAACAUUGAGCCUUGAUGUGUAGGAUAGGUGGGAGGCUUUGAAGCGUGGACGCCAGUCUGCGUGGAGCCGACCUUGAAAUACCACCCUUUAAUGUUUGAUGUUCUAACGUGGACCCGUGAUCCGGGUUGCGGACAGUGUCUGGUGGGUAGUUUGACUGGGGCGGUCUCCUCCUAAAGAGUAACGGAGGAGCACGAAGGUUGGCUAAUCCUGGUCGGACAUCAGGAGGUUAGUGCAAUGGCAUAAGCCAGCUUGACUGCGAGCGUGACGGCGCGAGCAGGUGCGAAAGCAGGUCAUAGUGAUCCGGUGGUUCUGAAUGGAAGGGCCAUCGCUCAACGGAUAAAAGGUACUCCGGGGAUAACAGGCUGAUACCGCCCAAGAGUUCAUAUCGACGGCGGUGUUUGGCACCUCGAUGUCGGCUCAUCACAUCCUGGGGCUGAAGUAGGUCCCAAGGGUAUGGCUGUUCGCCAUUUAAAGUGGUACGCGAGCUGGGUUUAGAACGUCGUGAGACAGUUCGGUCCCUAUCUGCCGUGGGCGCUGGAGAACUGAGGGGGGCUGCUCCUAGUACGAGAGGACCGGAGUGGACGCAUCACUGGUGUUCGGGUUGUCAUGCCAAUGGCACUGCCCGGUAGCUAAAUGCGGAAGAGAUAAGUGCUGAAAGCAUCUAAGCACGAAACUUGCCCCGAGAUGAGUUCUCCCUGAGACUUUAGGUCUCCUGAAGGAACGUUGAAGACGACGACGUUGAUAGGCCGGGUGUGUAAGCGCAGCGAUGCGUUGAGCUAACCGGUACUAAUGAACCGUGAGGCUUAACCUUACAACGCCGAAG